rnacentral:lncRNA from 1 species
AUUCCUUACAUUUAAUUGCUUCAGUUACAUUAUCUUAUUGACCAAACAGAAACUUACGUUUGUUGAUUGUGAGAACAGUUUCAUCGUCUUUCUCUGCUGAGAAUGGAUAAUAGGUUCCGAGCUUAGUGGAGAAUAAAUAAAUGAACUAGACCAGGAAAUGCCUUCUUUUGUAUUUUCAAGACAGGAUCUCACUAUGUAGCCCUGGCAUUCCUGGAACUCACUCUGUAGACCAGGCCAGCCUCGAACUCAGAGAUCCUCCUGCCUCUGCCUCCGGAGUGCUGGGAAUUGAGGACGUACACUGCUCCCCCUGGACUGUACACCUGGCAGGAAAUGCCUUUAAAAAAAAAAAAAAAAGAUUUAUUUAUUUGAGUACACUGUAACUGUCUUCAGACACACCAGAAGAGGGCAUUAGAUCCCAUUUCAGAUGGUUGUGAGUCACCAUGUGGUUGCUGGGAAUUGAGCUUAGGGCCUCUAAAAAAGCAAUCAGUGCUCUUAACCACUGAGCUAUCUCCCCAGCCCAACCCAGGAAGUACUAUCUUUCAAUCCAAGGGUAACAUCAGUGUUCAUGAGUCAUGUUCUGAAAGAACCCUGAAGUUUGUUGGAGAAAUGUUAGUGUUUGUGGCAUUCACCUGUCUAGAUGCUUUGAGGGACAAAGUUUGUUCUUCUUUUGAGAUUUUAGCAAGCUGACCUGAAACUCACUCUGUGUCCCUGACUUUCUUCCAUGCAUGUGUUGUUAUCAUAGCCAUGAACCACAAUGGUCAGGAACAAAACUUAAAAAUGCUCACCCCAGAAUGGUGGCAGUACAGAGCGGUUUGUAGGUACAUACCAGUGUGUGUUUAUACUCUAUAGGCAAAGGGGACUUCUUCCCAUCUUCCUGCUUAAGAUUGACUUGAAGUUCUGAAGGUGUGUUCAGACUGCUUAGUGUACACGACCUUGGGUUCAGUCCACAGGGCCACCCCAGAGAGGCAGUCUUACAAUGGCAUUGCAGUUUUAAGUAUGGGUGGACACGAUGGUUAAUUUAACAUAAGUAGCAGUCUGUUCAAUACAAUAAUGAAGUAAAUCAUUGAUUGAAAGAUGAAUACACAGGUACGAGUCUAGUACUGAAGCAGGAGAAUCUCAACUUCAAAGCCAGAAUGUCUACAAAAGAACUCACAAUGUGAUUGCAAGAUGGUUCAGUGGUUAGGGCUCUUGUGUCUCUGAGCCUCCACAUUUAAGUUUAAUUCCAGGACCCAUAUGGUGGACAGAAAGAACCAAUUUCCAGAAGUUAUUUUCUGAUUACCCUCCCCCGCCCCCACUUGCCACACACACACACACCAUAAAUAAAUGAACAAAAAUG